UUAAAUUGAGAGUUUGAUCCUGGCUCAGGAUGAACGCUGGUGGCGUGCCUAAUACAUGCAAGUCGUACGCUAGCCGCUGAAUUGAUCCUUCGGGUGAAGUGAGGCAAUGACUAGAGUGGCGAACUGGUGAGUAACACGUAAGAAACCUGCCCUUUAGUGGGGGAUAACAUUUGGAAACAGAUGCUAAUACCGCGUAACAACAAAUCACACAUGUGAUCUGUUUGAAAGGUCCUUUUGGAUCGCUAGAGGAUGGUCUUGCGGCGUAUUAGCUUGUUGGUAGGGUAGAAGCCUACCAAGGCAAUGAUGCGUAGCCGAGUUGAGAGACUGGCCGGCCACAUUGGGACUGAGACACUGCCCAAACUCCUACGGGAGGCUGCAGUAGGGAAUUUUCCGCAAUGCACGAAAGUGU
rnacentral:rRNA from 1 species